ACCAUGUGUCUGCAUCUGCCCAAACUGAAACAAACCAACAACACCAAUAAGUCCCAUUUGUUAAACAACGAGACAACCUCUCAGCUUAAUCAUAUAUACAAUCGAGAAGCAAAUACAAACUUGACCUAACUUCAAAUCCGCAAAUCUAACAACACUAAUUGCAGAAUCAAUAAUAAAUCACAAAGAACACUAAUUGCAAACCCUAAUUUCAUAAACCCCCAA